rnacentral:tRNA from 1 species
GCCUGAUAAAAAGGGUUAUUUUGAUAGGACAAAUCACGUAUAAUUUACCUUCAUUA